rnacentral:rRNA from 1 species
GACGAACGCUGGCGGCGUGCUUAACACAUGCAAGUCGAACGGAAAGGCCCUGCUUUUGUGGGGUGCUCGAGUGGCGAACGGGUGAGUAACACGUGAGUAACCUGCCCUUGACUUUGGGAUAACUUCAGGAAACUGGGGCUAAUACCGGAUAGGAGCUCCUGCUGCAUGGUGGGGGUUGGAAGGUUCGGCGGGUGGGGAUGGACUCGCGGCUUAUUAGGUUGUUGGUGGGGGAGUGGCUUACCAAGGCUUUGACGGGUAGCCGGCCUGAGAGGGUGACCGGCCACAUUGGGACUGAGAUACGGCCCAGACUCCUACGGGAGGCAGCAGUGGGGAAUAUUGCACAAUGGGCGGAAGCCUGAUGCAGCAACGCCGCGUGCGGGAUGACGGCCUUCGGGUUGUAAACCGCUUUCGCCUGUGACGAAGCGUGAGUGACGGUAAUGGGUAAAGAAGCACCGGCUAACUACGUG